UAGGGAAUAUUGGGCAAUGGAUGCAACUCUGAACCAGCCAUGCCGCGUGCAGGAAGACGGCCCUCUGGGUUGUAAACUGCUUUUAUUCGGGAAUAGACCUAUCUACGUGUAGAUAGCUGAAUGUACCGAAGGAAUAAGGAUCAGCUAACUCCGUGCCAGCCGCCGCGGUAAUACGGAGGAUCCAAGCGUUAUCCGGAUUUAUUGGGUUUAAAGGGUGCGUAGGCGGCCUAUUAAGUCAGGGGUGAAAGACGGUAGCUCAACUAUCGCAGUGCCCUUGAUACUGGUAGGCUUGAAUGAGGUAGAGGUAGGAGGAAUGUGGCAAGUAGCGGUGAAAUGCAUAGAUAUGUCACGGAACACCGAUUGCGAAGGCAGCUUACUAUGGUUUUAUUGUCGCUGAGGCACGAAAGCGUGGGGAGCGAACA
rnacentral:rRNA from 1 species